rnacentral:rRNA from 1 species
UACAGAGGGUGCAAGCGUUAAUCGGAAUUACUGGGCGUAAAGGCUGCGUAGGUGGUUGAAUAAGUUAGGUGUGAAAGUCCUGGGCUUAACCUGGGGACUGCGCCUAAUACUGUUGAACUAGAGUACUGUAGAGGGAAGUGGAAUUUCCGGUGUAGCAGUGAAAUGCGUAGAUAUCGGAAGGAACAUCAGUGGCGAAGGCGACUUCCUGGACAGAUACUGACACUGAGGCAGGAAAGCGUGGGGAGCAAACAGGAUUAGAUACCCUUGUAGU